GACGAACGCUGGCGGCGUGCUUAACACAUGCAAGUCGAACGCUGAAGACCUGGCUUUUGUUGGGUUGGAUGAGUGGCGAACGGGUGAGUAACACGUGAGUAACCUGCCCUCUUCUUUGGGAUAACGCCCGGAAACGGGUGCUAAUACUGGAUAUUCACUGAUCUUCGCAUGGGGGUUGGUGGAAAGGUUUGUUCUGGUGGGGGAUGGGCUCGCGGCCUAUCAGCGUGUUGGUGGGGUGAUGGCCUACCAAGGCUUUGACGGGUAGCCGGCCUGAGAGGGUGACCGGUCACAUUGGGACUGAGAUACGGCCCAGACUCCUACGGGAGGCAGCAGUGGGGAAUAUUGCACAAUGGGCGAAAGCCUGAUGCAGCGACGCCGCGUGAGGGAUGGAGGCCUUCGGGUUGUAAACCUCUUUCGCUCAUGGUCAAGCCGCAACUGUGGGUUGUGGUGAGGGUAGUGGGUAAAGAAGCGCCGGCUAACUACGUG
rnacentral:rRNA from 1 species